rnacentral:ncRNA from 1 species
GUCAACUACCCCUGACUAAAGUCAGAGGCUUGGCAACAAGCC